rnacentral:rRNA from 1 species
CGGGUGUGCAGUGGGUACGGGCAGACUAGAGUGCAGUAGGGGAGACUGGAAUUCCUGGUGUAGCGGUGGAAUGCGCAGAUAUCAGGAGGAACACCGAUGGCGAAGGCAGGUCUCUGGGCUGUUACUGACGCUGAGGAGCGAAAGCAUGGGGAGCGAACAGGAUUAGAUACCCUGGUAGUCCAUGCCGUAAACGUUGGGCACUAGGUGUGGGGGACAUUCCACGUUUUCCGCGCCGUAGCUAACGCAUUAAGUGCCCCGCCUGGGGAGUACGGCCGCAAGGCUAAAACUCAAAGGAAUUGACGGGGGCCCGCACAAGCGGCGGAGCAUGCGGAUUAAUUCGAUGCAACGCGAAGAACCUUACCAAGGCUUGACAUAUACCGGAUCGUUCCAGAGAUGGUUCUUCCCCUUUGGGGUCGGUAUACAGGUGGUGCAUGGUUGUCGUCAGCUCGUGUCGUGAGAUGUUGGGUUAAGUCCCGCAACGAGCGCAACCCUCGUUCCAUGUUGCCAGCACGUGAUGGUGGGGACUCAUGGGAGACUGCCGGGGUCAACUCGGAGGAAGGUGGGGAUGACGUCAAAUCAUCAUGCCCCUUAUGUCUUGGGCUUCACGCAUGCUACAAUGGCCGGUACAAAGGGUUGCGAUACUGUGAGGUGGAGCUAAUCCCAAAAGCCGGUCUCAGUUCGGAUUGAGGUCUGCAACUCGACCUCAUGAAGUCGGAGUCGCUAGUAAUCGCAGAUCAGCAACGCUGCGGUGAAUACGUUCCCGGGCCUUGUACACACCGCCCGUCAAGUCACGAAAGUCGGUAACACCCGAAGCCGGUGGCCCAACCCUUGUGGAGGGAGCCGUCGAAGGUGGGACUGGCGAUUGGG